rnacentral:rRNA from 1 species
CAUCUAAUUAAUGAUGUGCGUGAAUGGAUGAAUGAAAUUCCCACUGUCCCUAUCUACUGUCCAGAGAAACCACAGCCA